rnacentral:misc_RNA from 1 species
UCAUUCUUGUCCUCAAGAAUGAAUAAGGGGAGCUGCAACUAGAACACUAAAAGGAAAGACCGAAAUCUUGAUUUGGGAGAUGAAUGUAUGCUCAUAUAUGAGUAGUGUCCUUGCCAUUUUGAUUGGAAAAACUGUUGCCUCCAUAUCCAAAAUGAGAUGGCUUUUUUUCUGCACAAAAUGAGAUGGCUUUCUUUCUUUGCCUUCUUAAUAUUUCCCAUUAAUCCUCCAUGGAAAAUAAGAAAUCACAGGAAUAGAAUCCACCCUCUUUCCAUUUCAGCUGAAGAUAUGUUGCAAAGCUUUGCUUUUAACUAAAUUGCUCCCUAUAAAAAAUACUUCAAAAGAAAAUCUUCUGCCUCACUAGCCCCCAAAACCUUAAGAACAAUAACCCCACUAGAGAGCUUAGACAAUCCUUCUUGUGCUCUCUCAUUGUCAGCUAAUGCAAAUAAUUUUGUCUUUAGUAGAAAGUAGCCUCUUCCUCUCCAUCAGCCUUCAAUGUUUUGCCUGCAAGAUUUUCAUCUUUUAAUUUUUCAUCCAUCAAUUUCUUAUCCCCAUCAUCAAGCAAAAUUGUUGUGUUGUCAAGAAGGAUAGUCUCCUUCUUAGUAUCAAAGUCCUCCGUCUUCUCUUGGAUUGUUAAUCCCAAUUCAUUGCCACUACUCCAAGAAUCUUCAGAUAUAUGGAUGCUAGUUUUUAAAGCUUGGAUGGACUGUAGCAUCUUACCCGUUUGCCUGUCUUCCAUUUUCUGAUCUAACAAUCCACUUUGUGAACCCAAACUUUCCAUUGUCAUUCAUCGAUUCUUCAUAUGUUCUCCAUCUUCUAUCAAUAAUUUAAGUUAUAUCCAAAAGAAUAUUUUGUUCCCAAGAUUGUAUUUCCAAUGUCUGAUGAUUUGAUUAUAUUUUGUUUCCAAGAAAAUUUGGGGAAAAAAAAUAGUGAAAGGAAACCAGUUAAUACCUAACAACUCUGUUUUGGAUAGAAAGAAAGAAAGGGAAGGAAAAUAGGAAGAAAGGAAGGAAAAUAAGAUUGGAAGAGAGAGAAAAAUAGGAGAAUAGGAGAAAGAGAAGAGGAACUGAGAAAGAAUAGAGAGAGAAUGAGAAAUAGGGAAUCGGAGAGAGAAUUAGAAACCCUUGAAACUGGGUUUCAACUUUGAGAAAAGAAGAAAUGGAGGAAGAAGAGAAGAAAUAGAAAUAGAUCAGAGAAAGAAGUUAGAGAAAGAAAGAAUUGGAGGAAAAUGUAGAGAGAAGCAUACAGAAAGAAAAGUUUCAAGAAAGAAGGAAUUCAAGAAAGGAAGAAAAAGAAGAAGAGAGAGAAGAGUAGGAGAAACCUGGAAUUUGGGAAGACUACCACUGAUCUGGACAUGGAUGCGAUUCAUAUGAACUGGAAAGCAAGCAGUGCCUACCCCAUGAAAGCUCUGAUACCACUUUGUUAUGUGGCAGAAUCCCUGAGAACAGGAUCUCAAGCAGCAGAAGGAAUAGAAAUAG